GUGAAUCAUCAAAUCUUUGAACGCAAAUUGCACUCUUUGGUAUUCCGGAGAGUAUGCCUGUUUGAGGGUCAGUUUUAAUAAAAAUCGGUGUGUUGCUUCUUUGUGACGCUCCGGAGUUUGGGUUAUCUUAAUAUCUUUUAGGUUUUAAGAGGCUUAAAAUUGACUUUUUUUGCGCAUUUUAGAUGUACAUAAAUUCUUUUU
rnacentral:misc_RNA from 1 species